rnacentral:rRNA from 1 species
AUUGAACGCUGGCGGCAUGCCUUACACAUGCAAGUCGAACGGCAGCACGGGGCAACCUGGUGGCGAGUGGCGAACGGGUGAGUAAUGUAUCGGAACGUGCCAUUGAGUGGGGGAUAACGUGGCGAAAGUUACGCUAAUACCGCAUAUACCUUGAGGGGGAAAGCAGGGGAUCGCAAGACCUUGUGCUCUUUGAGCGGCCGAUAUCAGAUUAGCUAGUUGGUGAGGUAAAGGCUCACCAAGGCUAUGACGGGUACGGGGCGUGAGAGCGUGCCCCCGCUCACUGGGACUGAGAUACUGCCCAGACACCUACGGGUGGCUGCAGUCGAGGAUCUUCGGCAAUGAGCGCAAGCCUGACCGGGCGACGCCGCGUGUGGGAUGAAGGCCUUCGGGUUGUAAACCACUGUCGGGGUGGAGGAAAUGCAUGAGAGUUCUCUCUUGUGUUUGACCUAUCCCCGGAGGAAGGACGGGCUAAGUUCGUGCCAGCCGCCGCGGUAAUAC